CAUGCGCUGCUUAUACUGCAAGUCGAACGGAGACGUUAUAGCAAUAUGAUGUCUUAGUGGCGAACGGGUGAGUAACGCGUUGGUGACCUGCCCCGAAGCGGGGGAUAACAGCUCGAAAGGGCUGCUAAUACCCCAUGUGGUCGCAAAGGUUAGAGGCUUUGCGAUUAAAGGAGUAAUCCGCUUUGGGAGGGGCCUGCGUCCCAUCAGCUAGUUGGUAGGGUAAAAGCCUACCAAGGCGACGACGGGUAGGGGGCCUGAGAGGGUGACCCCCCACACUGGCACUGAAACACGGGCCAGACACCUACGGGUGGCAGCAGUAGGGAAUAUUGCACAAUGGGCGAAAGCCUGAUGCAGCAACGCCGCGUGCGCGAUGAAGGCCUUCGGGUCGUAAAGCGCUUUUCGGGGAGAUGAGGAAGGACAGUAUCCCCGGAAUAAGGUUCGGCUAACCACGUGCCAGCAGCCGCGGUAAAACGUAGGAACCGAGCGUUAUCCGAAUUUACUGGGCGUAAAGCGCGUGUAGGCGGUUCGGUAAGUUGGAUGUGAAAUCUCCCGGCUCAACUGGGAGAGGUCGUUCAAUACUGUCGAACUUGAGGGUGGUAGAGGGAGGUGGAAUUCCCGGUGUAGUGGUGAAAUGCGUAGAUAUCGGGAGGAACACCAGUGGCGAAAGCGGCCUCCUGGACCAUUCCUGACGCUCAGACGCGAAAGCUAUGGGAGCAACGGGAUUAGAAACCCCGGUAGUCCUAGCUGUAAACGAUGUUGACUUGGCGUUGGUGGGGUAAAAGCCAUCAGUGCCGUAGCUAACGCGAUAAGUCAACCGCCCUG
rnacentral:rRNA from 1 species